UACAGAGGGUGCAAGCGUUAAUCGGAAUUACUGGGCGUAAAGCGUGCGUAGACGGUUAUGUAAGUCAGGUGUGAAAGCCCAGGGCUCAACCUUGGAAUUGCAUUUGAGACUGCAUAGCUAGGGUGCGGAAGAGGGAAGCGGAAUUUCCGGUGUAGCGGUGAAAUGCGUAGAUAUCGGAAGGAACACCAGUGGCGAAAGCGGCUUCCCUGGUCCAGCACCGACGUUCAGGCACGAAAGCGUGGGGAGCAAACAGG
rnacentral:rRNA from 1 species